ensembl:lncRNA
GGGAAGGAGAAGACUAGGCGAUAGAGGAGUCACUGGGGUCUCCUGGGAAUGGUUAAUAUUUGAAGCAUAUAAGGUUUAUUUUUGAGGCCUCUGCGUGUUUGUUCAGUGGCUAAUGAGUAGUACUGGCAGCAGGCGGGCGGGCAGGCAGGCAGGCAGGCGGGCAGGCAGGCGGGCAGCUAGCUUAGUGGUCGUAGUAAACGGGAGCUAUGUUACCUUCUGCAUUUAGGAGCGCCCGGUGAGGAGAGCUGAUGUACGUAGUGGUGGACUAUUUUUGUCGGCUGUAUCGACUCAACCAUUCAGAGCCUGGCACUCAUGUACAUGACCCUGGGCCAAGAACAAGAGUAUGUAAAGCACUGCACGGCCACCUCUCUCUCCAAUACACGUACGUUUAUUUAUUUAUUUUUUCACAGUCGGCUUGGCAGGAUGUCCGAUCCAAAGUUCUCUCCUGUAGCAGGAACUGCUGAAAGCAUAACAAAAAAACAGGGACUAACUUGAAGGUGGAACGCAAACAAAUAUAUUUUCUGUCAUUUCCGAUAAACAUUUGGUCGCAUUUUUGUAGAAUCAUUUGGUGGUCGGUUUGUGCAAAACAUUUAGGGUGAAUACUUUGGAUUCUUCUACGAACUUCAAAAUAUAGUUUUAUUAAAAUGUAAUUUUUUUAUUUUAAAAAAUGUGUCACAUGCACGGAAAACAACAGGUUCACCUUACAGUGAUAUGCUUACUUACAAUCCUUAACCAACAAUGCCGUUUUACAAAAUAUUGAAAAAUAACUAAUAUUUAGAGCACAUUUUGUUUUAAUUUUGAAUUAUCUUGCGAGAAAAUGUUGAAAUGUAAUCUAACCAAUUAAUAUCCUAAUGUUAAUAAGUUAAUAAGUUAAGACCAAGCCACAAUGGUAAAUAGCUUGUAACCUUCUGCUUAACAUAUCUACUUGAGUAUUGGUGUGUUUCUACAUAUACUGUAAGUUGGUGUGUGUUUACAUUUGUACAUAAUAUAUAAUAAUAUAUGCCAUUUAGCAGAUGCUUUUAUCUAAUGUGUGCAUACAUUUCACAUACUGCUGGUCCAACUGAGCUACAGAGAGAACUAUAUGAAUGUUGGUGUGUGUUUCUACAUGUGUUUACAUUGUAUCCCCUGAUACCAGUCAGUCAGGAGGUGACUCAUUCAGGAGGAGUACAUCACUCCUCUGCCAGACUUCCGACUAUGAACGGUCCGUUUUCAGUUAGAUUGAUAUUUCUACAUGUGUGUGUUGACAUUUUAUACCUUGUAGUUUCUCAUCAGGUGUCUCAGUCGGGAGGACAGUGGGAUCAUCAAUCCUCUCAGAGUUAGACCUCAGACUAUGAACUGUCCAUUUUCAGUUAUCAUGGUACCGGUGCUGUGUGCCUGUCAAGUACAGUACUAUGAUAACUGAAGAUUGGCAGUGCCAUCGCAGUGGUUCUCUGUGCAACCUUCUGAGGCAGACAGGCCUAAAGAUCACUGGUUUAUUUCAAUUCUGAGUAUCAACAUUCUAGAAUCUACUAUAGGUAUUAUCUGUUUUCUGAUUCUGAAUUCUCAGUAAUGAUGUUGUCCUAUUUAGAAUUUCCCUGAUGUGUAUAUUUUGUUGUCUAUGGGGGGAUCAUGGAGACCUUUGAGCUGCUAUUUAGUUGUUUGAAGGCAUCCCAAAGCACACACUGUCCUGGGUCAUCUCUGACAUCACACAGGGGCAGAGGUCACAGUGCUUCUCAGUAUUCCAUUGUGUUUGACUUCCCCUCUGGCCUUCACGGCCUGUUUGUAGGAUGCUCUCGUGUUUUGUAUUUGACUGUGUUGUAAAAUAACAAAUAAUCUCUUCGUGAGCUAGCUUGUUGCACUGCUGUAUUUGAGUUGCCAAGCCACCCACCUGAAAUAGUCUCACUUUCUCACUCACUCCCAGGUUUGACAUACUCAGACACGACAGACUUCUUCCAGAUGAGGUUUAAGAUGGAGACUCCGACAUCAUCAAAUCUGUCGUUCUGCCCCUGAACAAGGCAGUUAACCCACUGUUCCUAUGCUGUCAUUGAAAAUAAGAAUUUGUUCUUAACUGACUUGCCUAGUUAAAUAAAGGUCAAAUCAAAAAAAAUCUUUGGAGGACAAGAGGUAAGGAGGAGACCAAGUACCGAUGACCUGUGUUGAGAGCCGGGUUUACCAACAUCAGCAAAUCAAUAUUUUUAUACCAGAGUCGUUCUUGAAUUACGGUGGCAUUUGGGUAUGGCGUAAUUAAAAACAACAUGCUUUCUAGAUUUGUAUUUAUUGAAAUGUAUUGACCAUUAGGAUAACAUUGUGCCACCAGUAGGAGUCGUAACACCAAUGAGAAUUUUGUUUAUUGAGGAUUUUCUUAAAUGGAGGCCACGAUACUUAAAUCUAAGAUCAUUAACCCAUAAAAUAGUUGACUAAAGGGAUAUGAUUAAUAAUUGAGCUCAUAAUGUUAUUUCCCUUUUUAAAUGGACUAACCCCAAGUGACACUGGAUUCAGACACACCACAUUAUCAAUGGAAUCCUCAAAUGUAUGACAUAAUAAAAAAUAGUGUGAUUAGCUAACAAUUUUCUUUAAUAAAGACGUCUCCCCCAAUGUUUUCCACUGGAGGGAAUGGUCGAGGUCCUUGUAUAUCUUUGUAAUGAGUGGUUUUUCAGGCGGUAACUCCAAGGAAAUAAAACUGAGGGAAAGAUAUAGUAGUAAAAAUAUAUAUAUUUUUAAUAGCCUUUGUUUUCAUUGAUCUAAACAAUAUAUUAAAUACCUUUUUCAUCUUCUAACAUUCAAAAUAAUAUUUAGCUCUAAAUCCCCAAAAUGUCACUACAACUUCACACAUCACUACCUGGACAAGCCAAUGUGAUUACUUGCCCUAAGUACUUUAUACUGCAAAACUUUCUGUUAAUACAUUAUUUAAUGGACUUGCAUUACAGUAGCUAAGAGGUGGCGAAGUAUGUCUAUGAUAAGACGCUGCUCUACCAUCUUGACAGCACUGUCAACAAGGUAGGUCCUACAGGCCUACGACUGUUCAGUCGUGUGGUCAGGUGCCACAAAAAAGGACAUUGGAAAAUUGCAUUUGUUUCAGAACAGGGCAGCGCGGCUGGCCCUUGGAUGUACACAUAGAGCUAAUAUUAAUAAUAUGCAUGUCAAUCUCUCCUGGUUCAAAAUGGAGGAGAGAUGGACUUUAUCACUACUUGUAUUUAUGAGAGGUAUUGACAUGUUGAAUGCACCUAGCCGUCUGUUUGAACUCCUGGGACACAGCUCGGACACCCAGGCAUAUCCCACAAGACAUGCCACAAGAGGUCUCUUCACAGUCCCCAAGUCCAGAACAGACUAUGGAAAGCACACAGUACUAAAUAGAGCCAUGACUACAUGGAACUCUAUUCCACAUCUCGUAACUCAUGCAAGCAGUAAAAUUAGAUACAAAAAUAUAUAUUUUUAAUAUAUUUUUUAAAAUCUUUUAAACACCUUAUUGAACAUCGGGGACUGUGAAUCAAUACAUUCACAGUCCCCACAUUCACAGUCACCACAUUCACAGUCCCCUGUUUAUGGAGCAUAAACACACGAUAGCAUACGCACUAUAUAGUCAUGUGCACAUGGAUUUUGUACGGUAUAUAUGUGGUGCAGUAGGGGACCUGAGGGCACACAGUCUGAAUGUAAUGUUUUUAUAAUUGUAUGAACUGCCUUCAUUUUGCUGCCUUGGCAGCAGCUAAUGGGGGUACAUAAUAAAUACAAAUUGUUUUAUUAUUGUCUAACUAUUUGUCCAUUUUUCAUGGUUGCAAAGGGACACAUGCCACCACAAUUCAAGAAUGAACCAUGUAUGAUUCUGUGGCACUCUCACCCGUGUCUCCGAGGCACUUUGGUAUGCCAAGAUACCUGUCUGUAGGCUAUGUUGUUGGAGUGUUCUCUCUCUGACUCUCCUCCAAAAUUGCAUUGGGUCUUGAUUCUUAUUCGUACCUUAAUGUGCCUUUCAUUGUUGUUACUAACUGUGUUCAUAUUUAUUUAGUUAUGUUGCCGAUAAUGAUCCUUCCAGUUUUCAUCAUCUGGAUUCUCUCCUGCUGUAGAACAUUAAAUGAACAUCCCUUCCUCCGUAGGAUCCAUUUCAGUAAUUCAGCAGGGUCAAUAGAUGGGUAUGUGCAUACCGUAUGCCCUGUGAUACUGUAAUCAGGGCUCGUUUGGAGUCCCUUUCACUGACUCCCUGAGGCGCACAGCCAUGGUUAAUAUCAAAUCAAAUGUAUUUAUAAAGCCCUUCUUACAUCAGCUGAUAUCUCAAAGUGCUGUACAGAAACCCAGCCUAAAACCCCAAACAGCAAGCAAUGCAGGUGUAGAAGCACAAUAUGUAUGUCUAUGGUGCCUGCCCAGGGUUAAUAUGUAUGUCUAUGGUGCCUCACAGGGUUAAUAUGUAUGUCUAUGGUGCCUGCCCACGGUUAACAUGUAUGUCUAUGGUGCCUCCCCAGGGUUAAUAUGUGUGUCUAUGGUGCCUCCCCAGGGUUAAUAUGUAUGUCUAUGGUGCCUCCCCAGGGUUAAUAUGUAUGUCUAUGGUGCCUCCCCAGGGUUAAUAUGUAUGUCUAUGGUGCCUCCCCAGGGUUGACAUGUAUGUCUAUGGUGCCUCCCCAGGGUUGACAUGUAUGUCUAUGGUGCCUCCCCAGGGUUAACAUGUAUGUCUAUGGUGCCUGCCCAGGGUUAAUAUAUAUGUCUAUGGUGCCCGCCCAUGGUGACAGGCCGUCAGCUACAGUAGCUGUUCUACAUAGCCAACAGUGCCCUGCAGCAGCAUCAGAACGCCUCAGUGGCUCAGCAAAGGCCUCCCUCCACCUACUGCCCAUGGACCUAACCUUUAAUGUUUGCAGAUCUGUAUGGCGGAAGCUUCACCUCUACCCUGCUAAUAUCUAUCCAGACCCUUCAGAUCGGCAAACAUGUCCAUAUUAGGGCCAAGGGGAAGGGGUAGGUAGAGAUUGAAUUGAGACCAGCUGUAGUCGUCAAUGUGCUGAAAGAAGAAACCUUGUAUGCCUUCAUUAUCCACACAGGGCUGCUUCAACAGCCACAGGGUGACGCUAGCUAUUUGUCUAACAGUCCUCUGGUACUGUACUGUGUAGUUGUAUGUAAACAUGUGAAGAUAUACCGUGGUACGGUAUGGAACUGUAACCUAUAGUUAUAUGUAACUAGCCAUUUAUAAAGUUUCUCUGAUUUGUGAAAAUAUAA